rnacentral:rRNA from 1 species
AGGACGAACGCUGGCGGCGUGCUUAACACAUGCAAGUCGAGCGGAAAGGCCCUUCGGGGUACUCGAGCGGCGAACGGGUGAGUAACACGUGAGCAAUCUGCCCUUAGCUUCGGGAUAGCUCCGGGAAACCGGAAUUAAUACCGAAUACGACCACGGCCGACAUCAGCUGUGGUGGAAAGUUUUUCGGCUAGGGAUGAGCUCGCGGCCUAUCAGCUUGUUGGUGAGGUAACGGCUCACCAAGGCGACGACGGGUA